rnacentral:rRNA from 1 species
CGCUUUCGGGCGGGGAUUAGUGGCGAACGGGUGAGUAACACGUGGGCAAUCUGCCCUGCACUCUGGGACAAGCCCUGGAAACGGGGUCUAAUACCGGAUAUGACUGUCCGCCGCAUGGUGGAUGGUGUAAAGCUCCGGCGGUGCAGGAUGAGCCCGCGGCCUAUCAGCUUGUUGGUGAGGUAGUGGCUCACCAAGGCGACGACGGGUAGCCGGCCUGAGAGGGCGACCGGCCACACUGGGACUGAGACACGGCCCAGACUCCUACGGGAGGCAGCAGUGGGGAAUAUUGCACAAUGGGCGAAAGCCUGAUGCAGCGACGCCGCGUGAGGGAUGACGGCCUUCGGGUUGUAAACCUCUUUCAGCAGGGAAGAAGCGAGAGUGACGGUACCUGCAGAAGAAGCGCCGGCUAACUACGUGCCAGCAGCCGCGGUAAUACGUAGGGCGCAAGCGUUGUCCGGAAUUAUUGGGCGUAAAGAGCUCGUAGGCGGCUUGUCACGUCGGUUGUGAAAGCCCGGGGCUUAACCCCGGGUCUGCAGUCGAUACGGGCAGGCUAGAGUUCGGUAGGGGAGAUCGGAAUUCCUGGUGUAGCGGUGAAAUGCGCAGAUAUCAGGAGGAACACCGGUGGCGAAGGCGGAUCUCUGGGCCGAUACUGACGCUGAGGAGCGAAAGCGUGGGGAGCGAACAGGAUUAGAUACCCUGGUAGUCCACGCCGUA